rnacentral:tRNA from 1 species
GGAGGGGUGUCCGAGUGGUUGAAGGAGGCGGUCUUGAAAACCGCUGACCGAGCAAUCGGUCCGGGGGUUCGAAUCCCUCCCCCUCCGCCA